UGGUCUACAAAUUGAGUUCCAGACUACAUG
rnacentral:piRNA from 1 species